CGAGCCGUUCAGGAGUGCGGGAUUUGGUGUUCGCUCGAUUCCGCCCCCUUCUCCUUCCUCGAGCUCCGGUCGACACGCGGUGGCAAUCAGCAGCCCCAGGAUGAUGUUGUUAUUAAAACCUUACAAUGGACAAAGACCUGUGGAGAGUUGCUGCUUCAGAAGUGCACUGCAGCAUUGGCCUUGGAGGUGUUCAUGAGGAGCUAGCAGCAGAUAUCUCCACCCACGUGGAGCAAAAAUAGCAUACUGUACUGGGAGAAAAUCGGUACGAAACACAUAUUCAAGUCGAUACAAGCCUCGUACUACCUGUAUCGAGGCGUACCAAGGUGUAUACCAAUCUGUAUCAAGGCGUACCGAGAUGAAAAUUGAGAAAAUGAAUAAGAGAGCUAUUUUGGUACAGAGAUGUGCCGUACCGUACCAUAUCGAACCGAUAAGGUACAAACACAGUAUCUAGUAUCGAGAUUGCAGACCUUGAUCACAUGCUUGAUGAGUGGGAGAAGCCAAAGAGUUUAUUUCCCCUCUUUCAUGCACUUUCCUUCUUUCCUUGGGCAUGGAGUAUCAUGGCUCCAUAAAAACGUGGGGCAUCAUGGUGUUUUAUCUUCCUAUUAUCUCGUAUGGCACACAGAUUUUUAUCUUCCCAUCAUAUUGCAUGGCACAUGUAUUUUUAUCUUCCCAUCAUCUUGCUUGGCACAUUGUUUUUUUAUCUUCCAUCAUCCCACAUGCGUGAUUUUCAUUCUCACAUCCACUCACGUGAAGUCGGCCAAAUCAUUAAUAGUGGGUUGCACGAGAAUUUCCAUUAUAUAUGGAAUAUAGGCUAUAUAUUGUCCCUUAACUUUCAUUUUACCUUUUACAUCUCCUAUGUCUAUACUAUAUUACUUUUG